GCAUACAUACAAAUCAGACAAGAGACAUUGCUUAGUUAUUGUCUAGUAUUAGUUAGGUAUUCAGUGCACAGCAUAUGGUACUGUAUUGCCAUUUUUGCCACCGCAAAACAAAAAUGGUUUGCACUGCUCCCAGUCUUCUCAUCUAUUUGCUCUCUGCCAGAGGUAACCUAACUGAAGUUCUUGCUGAUAAACUAUUUCUCCAGCUACAAUCAAGGAGGCUGGGAGUACACCCAGCGGACCCCUGGUUUGACUCCUUACAUAGAUGCUCCAGUGUAAUCCUGGCACCAUAACUAAUACAGACAGAUGUAUUGUUCCAUUAGCCGAGGGAGAGAUGGUGUUUUUUGGUUUGUUUACACAACCCUGCCCCUCUUAAAGCAGCACUGCCAUCGUUUGGCAACUUUGCUGAAUUUGCAAAGUCCCCCAUUGGAGACAUCACCGCUUUAGGUACAGUGGUCAAGGGUGAAAUUACUUACCUGAACCUCUACCUCACGGGCGUUGCCAUCUUGUUCACACUGUUCCUCUUCAAGUCCCAGAGCUGAAGAGCCACCAGCAGACUUCACUGCUGUACACUCAUGCAUGCAAAAGCAUUCAGACC